UACGAAGGGGGCUAGCGUUGCUCGGAAUCACUGGGCGUAAAGCGCACGUAGGCGGCUCUUUAAGUCAGGGGUGAAAUCCUGGAGCUCAACUCCAGAACUGCCUUUGAUACUGGGGAUCUCGAGUCCGGAAGAGGUGAGUGGAACUCCGAGUGUAGAGGUGAAAUUCGUAGAUAUUCGGAAGAACACCAGUGGCGAAGGCGGCUCACUGGUCCGGUACUGACGCUGAGGUGCGAAAGCGUGGGGAGCGAACAGG
rnacentral:rRNA from 1 species